CCUUGUCAAUCUUCUCAACCUUUUAAUAAUUUAUUUUUUGAGGUUAGCUUUCUGAUGUUUUUAGUCUUUUGAUGUCUUCGGCCUUAAGCUUGGGUGCUUUUAGACCUAUGAUCCUUUAAAAAAUUGCUUGCCAUAUGUUUGUUAAUAAUAGAAAGACUGAUAUAUAUGCCAUAUCAUGUGUCAAGCAUGAUAAGUCACAAGAUGAGCAACCAUCCAUUUACGAGAUGGUUAAUAUGGUGUAUAUCCAGACAUGUGCAGCCUUC
rnacentral:lncRNA from 1 species